AUGGGUGUCUUCACAUACACAGACGAGUCCACCUCAGUCAUCCCCCCACCAAGAUUGUUCAAAGCCCUUGUUCUUGAAGCUGACACCCUCAUCCCCAAGAUUGCUCCCCAAUCAGUGAAAAGUGCUGAAAUUGUUGAAGGAGAUGGAGGUGUUGGAACCAUCAAGAAGAUUAGCUUUGGUGAAGGUUGGUUUCUGCCAUUGCCUCUUCUAAGUUUAACUUGUUUGCCUAAUUAAUAACAUAAAUCUUGAAAGCAUUAAUCUCUUAAUUUCUAAUUAUAAUCCUCAUUUUACAGGAAGUCAUUACAGCUAUGUGAAGCACAGGAUCGACGGGCUUGACAAAGAUAACUUUGUGUACAGCUACAGUUUGGUUGAAGGAGAUGCUCUUUCAGACAAGGUUGAGAAAAUCAGUUAUGAGAUUAAGUUGGUGGCAUCUGCUGAUGGAGGUUCCAUCAUAAAGAGCACCAGCAACUACCACACCACAGGGGAUGUUGAGAUCAAGGAAGAGGAUGUUAAGGCUGGCAAAGAGAAGGCCACUGGUCUGUUCAAGCUUAUUGAGAACUACCUUGUGGCCAACCCAGAUGCCUACAACUAA
rnacentral:lncRNA from 1 species